ensembl:snRNA U6 U6 spliceosomal RNA
GGACUCACUUAGGAAGCACAUACACUAAAAUUGGAACCAUACAGAGAAAAUCGGCAUGGCUUGUGUGCAAGAAUGACACGCAAAGUCAUGAAGCAUUCCAUAAUUUU